UGAAGGUUCGGGGCAGGAAGAGGGAGCUGUGGCCCCUUGGGCCAGCUCUCAGGCACAGGGACUGCUCCACUGUCCUCCGGGUCAGGGCCUCUGUCCUGAGGCCUGUUCCCUUCUUCUCAGGCCGCCAGGCUCUGUGCGCCCCGCCCUGCACUCCUCCCUCGCAGGGAGGAGGAACAAAGCGCACAGCCCCAGCUCUGAGCCCGGCCAGGCAUCAGGCUCAUCUGGCCGCCAGCUUUGGCCCCAACUGCGGCGUCCCUGGGAGAGGCAGCGCCAUCCUUAGGGGGCCCUGUCCUGUUUCGGGUGCCGUCCCGGCCUGGUGGUAUGGAUUUCUGCUGUAAACACAGCCCAUAUGGGAGAAGCCCAGGUGCCUCGAUCCAUGCUCUCCGAAACUUAAAGCUCAGAAGGCUUUGAAAUGCAAAUAUUUUGAAGGAAACAUAAGUGGCUGCCCUGCCCACUCCUGGCUGGGAUGUGGAAGGAAGGAAGGGAAUGGCAGUGGCACACCCAAUCUGUGUCAGUAUAUGGGAAGAUUUCCUCUGCUGCACCCUUCCACCAUGAUGGUUCUGCCUUGCCACAGGCCUAAAAGUAAUGAAGCCAACUGACCAUGGACUGAAACCUCUGAAACAAAUAGUAACCAUACCUAACCUAACCAACAGGCUGGGUUAGUCAAUGAGCCCUUGGCAGCCACUGAUUCGCUGUUCUUUAGGACCUCAAAGUGCACAACUGAGGAGAAGAUCUCUGAGGGAAGAUUGCAGCUCAAACAAC
ensembl:lncRNA